CCUACGGGUGGCAGCAGUGAGGAAUAUUGGUCAAUGGACGCAAGUCUGAACCAGCCAUGCCGCGUGCAGGAAGACGGCUCUAUGAGUUGUAAACUGCUUUUGUACGAGGGUAAACGCAGAUACGUGUAUCUGUCUGAAAGUAUCGUACGAAUAAGGAUCGGCUAACUCCGUGCCAGCAGCCGCGGUAAUACGGAGGAUACAAGCGUUAUCCGGAUUUAUUGGGUUUAAAGGGUGCGUAGGCGGUCGGAUAAGUUAGAGGUGAAAUCCCGAGGCUCAACUUUGGAAUUGCCUCUGAUACUGGUCGGCGAGAGAGUAGUUGCGGUAGGCGGAAUGUAUGGUGUAGCGGUGAAAUGCUUAGAGAUCAUACAGAACACCGAUGGCGAAGGCAGCUUACCAAGCUACUUCUGACGUUGAGGCACGAAAGCGUGGGGAGCAAACAGGAUUAGAUACCCCAGUAGUC
rnacentral:rRNA from 1 species